CAGUGCCGCGGGAAUACGUAGGUGGCAAGCGUUGUCCGGAAUUAUUGGGCGUAAAGGGCUCGCAGGCGGUUUCUUAAGUCUGAUGUGAAAGCCCCCGGCUCAACCGGGGAGGGUCAUUGGAAACUGGGAAACUUGAGUGCAGAAGAGGAGAGUGGAAUUCCACGUGUAGCGGUGAAAUGCGUAGAGAUGUGGAGGAACACCAGUGGCGAAGGCGACUCUCUGGUCUGUAACUGACGCUGAGGAGCGAAGGCGUGGGGAGCGAACAGGAUUAGAUACCCCCGUAGUCCCUGUCUCUUAUACC
rnacentral:rRNA from 1 species